ensembl:snoRNA
CAGGCUGUGAUGAUUGGCGCAGGGGUACGGACCUCAGCUGAAUCAUGGGAGCUGAAUGUCUGUGUUUCACCUUUGUCUUGCAUGUGGCAGGCUGCUGGUGAGCACUUACAUGAGACUCAUGCCUUAAAUCUGAGCCUG